rnacentral:rRNA from 1 species
UACGGAGGGGGCUAGCGUUGUUCGGAAUUACUGGGCGUAAAGCGCACGUAGGCGGCUUUGUAAGUUAGAGGUGAAAGCCCGGAGCUCAACUCCGGAAUUGCCUUUAAGACUGCAUCGCUCGAAUCAUGGAGAGGUGAGUGGAAUUCCGAGUGUAGAGGUGAAAUUCGUAGAUAUUCGGAAGAACACCAGUGGCGAAGGCGACUCACUGGACAUGUAUUGACGCUGAGGUGCGAAAGCGUGGGGAGCAAAC